rnacentral:lncRNA from 12 species
GUUUAGACUGUGCUCUGCUCAUGACUCACACAUGACACAAGGCAGGUCAUUACCCUUCUGUUCUGGCUAAAAGGCUAUAAUAGCAUUUGGCCUCUCCCUGCCUCGUAAUGGUGACUCGGAGGAUUAAUAAGGGAAUGAGCACUAAGCCUUGUGAAUGCGAGCUUUGUUCUCAAGUCAGUUCCCUGAUUAUUCCACAAAGCAGAGGAACAGCAAAUGUCAAGGUUCCCUUUACUCGAGGCUGAAGUCUGAGGUUGCGGGAGGUGCCUCUCCAGGUGUGGCCUGAGCUCUGCGUCUGUGUCACGGUCAUGGGAGGCCCCGAGGACACAUCAAAAAGGUGGGGGUGGAAGGUGGCUGACCACAGACCCUAAAGGCUAAUUCAACUUCGAGGACUGACAGUGUACAACUAGCAAAUACACAAGCCAGUUGGGAAGAUAACACUAACUGGUUGCACACCAGUGCUGCUGGAGAAUCCUGGGACAUCUCACAGAAGCCAUCAGAGGGUAAGCAUCCCUGCCACAUCAGCCUCCCAGGGGUCAGCUGCAGGCCUAAUGGACCAAGAGUGGUGAGAGUCCUUUUUCUCUUGCUGUGUAAAUUUAGAUUAGCAGAAGAUAAUAUAUGUGGAAUAGUAGCUUGGGCUUAACGAUACCAGUAAAUUUGGUAGAAUAGUCUUGGCUUGACUCACCCAUUUUCUCCCAGAGAUGGUCACAAUUUUUCUUUUGUUGUUCUCUUUUGUACUAUUUGUCAUAAAAAGGAAUUAUCAUCAGGAAAGACUACAGGCAUAAACCCCAUUAGCCUGGUGUUUGAGCCAGCCUCACAAACCGGUGAGUUCAUGGUAAUCAUGUGACUAGCAUCUAUUUAGACAAACUUUGGUGUGGGUCCCCUACGUAAAAGCUGGAUGAGCUUUCUUCUUUCAUCUUGUCCUAUGUCCUAAGUGCUUG